rnacentral:lncRNA from 1 species
CAGCACAAGCCACAGCAAGAAGGAGCAGUGACACAGAGAGACUCUGCUCGGGACACAGAAAUAUUUUGAGCAGCAGUUUUGAGGAGGCCACUGAUUUCUGAGCCUCUACUACCCUGAGCUUACUCUUUGCUAGCAUCCCUAGACAUCCUGAGUAGCUCUUCUGGACAGUUUUGUGGAGCAACUCGAAAAUUA